CAUGUAGGCGGCUAUGUAAGUCUGGAGUGAAAGUCCUGCUUUCAAGGUGGGAAUUGCUUUGGAAACUGUGUAGCUUGAGUGCGGAAGAGGUAAGUGGAAUUCCCAGUGUAGCGGUGAAAUGCGUAGAGAUUGGGAGGAACACCAGUGGCGAAGGCGACUUACUGGGCCGUAACUGACGCUGAGGUGCGAAAGCGUGGGGAGCGAACAG
rnacentral:rRNA from 1 species